rnacentral:misc_RNA from 1 species
GUGAAUCAUCGAAUCUUUGAACGCACAUUGCGCCCGCCAGUAUUCUGGCGGGCAUGCCUGUUCGAGCGUCAUUUCAACCAUCAAGCCCCGGGCUUGUGUUGGGGACCUGCGGCUGCCGCAGGCCCUGAAAACCAGUGGCGGGCUCGCUAGUCACUCCGAGCGUAGUAGUCUACACCUCGCUCAGGGCGUGCUGCGGGUUCCGGCCGUUAAAAGCCUUUUUUUACCCAAGGUUGACCUCGGAUCAGGUAGGAAGACCCGCUGAACUUAAGCAUAUCAAUAAGCGGAGGA